rnacentral:rRNA from 1 species
CACGUAGGGUGCGAGCGUUGUCCGGAAUUAUUGGGCGUAAAGAGCUCGUAGGCGGUGUGUCGCGUCGGCCGUGAAAACCUGGGGCUUAACUCUGGGCGUGCGGUCGAUACGGGCAUCACUGGAGUUCGGCAGGGGAGACUGGAAUUCCUGGUGUAGCGGUGAAAUGCGCAGAUAGUCAGGAGGAACACCGGUGGCGAAGGCGGUUCUCUGGGCCUGUACUGACACUGAGGGACGAAAGCUAGGGGAGCGAAUGGG